rnacentral:lncRNA from 1 species
UAAGAGCCUAAUUCUGCAGAUUCUCAGAUGUGUCGGCGAGGCGCUGCCCUUUCCCAGUCAGUGGCAGAGGACAGGGCUGGGUGCCCUGCGGGUGCUCAGCAGUUGGCGUACGGCCGCGCUGCUGUGAUUUGAUACGUGCACAAAAAAAUGACUGCAGGGGAAGGAAAGGGCAUUAUGCACACUGAGCUUCAUUUCAUGCAGAAAGCGAUUGGAUUUAAAAGUUUGCUUGGCAAUAAAAAUACUUCUUGUGUUCUGCAGUAAACAAACAGAGCGCUGGGGAUGGGGACCUGAAGCCUGCAGCCAUGGGAGCAUCGUGCUCAAAGCAUGCUUUGUGGAUAGCAAAAUGAGCAGUCUCGGUGAUCUCCUGGCAGGAGUACUGCACGUGGGAUGAUGGAGGAGCCAUCUCCAUCCCUGGAGCAGGGAGCCGUUCCACUCCUCUUCCCCCUUCUUGCAGAGGGAGCCAUGCCACCUCCUUCCAGCUCCAGUUUCCAGGGAUGCAGUGAUGGAGACUGCAGCAGGUGAGGGUGCUGCCUCUGCUGCCCCAGAAUCAGACAGCGUGGUGCUGGGAGGUGGUAUGGUGCAGAGGGAAUCUUGUCCACUUGCUCUGCUUGGCAUUGCUGUGCUGGGCAGGGGGGAUGGUGCUGCAGGACCCAUGCCAUACGUGGCUCCCUGCAUGGGGCCAUGCAGCCUGGUUUUGUAGGAUCAGGUACCCCAGGAACAUUGCCAUCCCACUGCUGCUCCGUGCUGCAGGGAGGUGAGGUCCCUGAGGUGCAACCUGCACCCUUUGUGUCCCCACUCUUACGGCUGGAGAUCUUUCUGGAAAGGAGUUGUGAACAAGCAGGAUCACGGCUUUGCAAGGCUUCCAUAAAGUAUGAAUGCAUAAUAACAUUUGCAUAAAUAAUUCAAGAUAGUCAGCACGGGGGAUAUUUCCUCGGCAGUUUCACGUGGGCUCCUGCAGCUCAGUUGUCUCCGUGCUGGGCACGAGCAGCUCCCUGCAUUUAGAACAGGCAAAUCCUGGGCAUGCUGCAUCUCCUGCUCCUCCUCAGCCUGCAAACCACUCUCCCUCCUGCCUUGCUGCUCCUUCCCCAAGCUCCCAGUGCUAUUAGCACCUCUAAUUACAGCUGCUUAUUGAUGUACUGCUGUUUGCCUGAGUGUGGCUGAUGAAGGCAGAAAAGCCCUGAGCUGAAGUGAACCUGGG